rnacentral:rRNA from 1 species
AUUGAACGCUGGCGGCACGCCUAACACAUGCAAGUCGAGCGGAUGAAGGGAGCUUGCUCCUGGAUUCAGCGGCGGACGGGUGAGUAAUGCCGAGGAAUCUGCCUGGUAGUGGGGGAUAACGUCCGGAAACGGGCGCUAAUACCGCAUACGUCCUGAGGGAGAAAGUGGGGGAUCUUCGGACCUCACGCUAUCAGAUGAGCCUAGGUCGGAUUAGCUAGUUGGUGGGGUAAAGGCCUACCAAGGCGACGAUCCGUAACUGGUCUGAGAGGAUGAUCAGUCACACUGGAACUGAGACACGGUCCAGACUCCUACGGGAGGCAGCAGUGGGGAAUAUUGGACAAUGGGCGAAAGCCUGAUCCAGCCAUGCCGCGUGUGUGAAGAAGGUCUUCGGAUUGUAAAGCACUUUAAGUUGGGAGGAAGGGCAGUAAGUUAAUACCUUGCUGUUUUGACGUUACCAACAGAAUAAGCACCGGCUAACUUCGUG